AUUGAACGCUGGCGGCAUGCCUUACACAUGCAAGUCGAACGGUAACAGGUUAAGCUGACGAGUGGCGAACGGGUGAGUAAUGUAUCGGAACGUGCCCAGCCGUGGGGGAUAACUACUCGAAAGAGUGGCUAAUACCGCAUACGAACUGAGGGUGAAAGCGGGGGACCGUAAGGCCUCGCGCGAUUGGGACGGCGCAUAUCAGAUUAGCUAGUUGGUGGGGUAAAAGCCCACCAAGGCGACGAGCUUUAGCUGGUCUGAGAGGACGACCAGCCACACUGGGACUGAGACACGGCCCAGACUCCUACGGGAGGCAGCAGUGGGGAAUUUUGGACAAUGGACGCAAGUCUGAUCCAGCCAUGCCGCGUGCGGGAAGAAGGCCUUCGGGUUGUAAACCGCUUUUGUCAGGGAAGAAACGAGUUUCUCUAAUCCAGAGACUUAAUGACGGUACCUGAAGAAUAAGCACCGGCUAACUACGUGCCAGCCGCCGCAGUAAUAC
rnacentral:rRNA from 1 species